rnacentral:rRNA from 1 species
CCCUUAGUUAUCCUAGGUCGCACGCGCCAUACAAUGUGGCGCACAACGAGUCUCCUUGGCCGACAGGAUGUCCCGCGAGCGAUCGGCGACGCAGCCAGCUCGGUCUUCGGGCAGACUCGGUGAGAGUGGCCCGUCCUCCUGAGAGGGCGAUCGUCGAUGCCUCGGGAUUCUGGGCAAUCUGGCAGAGCGCUACGUGACUGGGCUAGACUUUUGUGAUUUUUGGUCUUGAACGAGGAAUGCCUAGUAAUCGCAGGUCAGCAUCCUGCGAUGAUUCGGUCCCUGCCCUUUGUACACACCGCCCGUCGCUCCAUCCGUGGCAUGCGCCGGUGAAGAGGGGGAGGCAGCGUCGGCCGUGUAACAGCGGAUCGUACGUGGAACCCCUCUGAACCUUCGCACGUAGAGGAAGGAGAAGUCGUAACA